GGUUGGAGGUGGAAGUGCAGCAAUGCAUGGAGCUGACCAAUACUAAUCGGUCGAGGGCUUAUCCUAAUAU
rnacentral:rRNA from 1 species